CACUUAUCGCCUACUCGUUCUACUACUAAACGCAUCUUAUUUGCGCGGUAGACUGGUGGGCGACAUCAAGCGUUGAUUCAAGCCAUCAGACUGAAAAAACCCGCGCCGCUGCGCGGGUUUUUUU
rnacentral:sRNA from 1 species